rnacentral:rRNA from 1 species
UACGGGGGGAGCAAGCGUUGUUCGGAUUUACUGGGCGUAAAGGGCGCGUAGGCGGUCGUGACAAGUCACUUGUGAAAUCUCCGGGCUUAACUCGGAAAGGUCAAGUGAUACUGUCGGACUAGAGUACAGAAGGGGCAACUGGAAUUCUCGGUGUAGCGGUGAAAUGCGUAGAUAUCGAGAGGAACACCUGCGGCGAAGGCGGCAUCCUGGACCGGCAUUGACGCUGAGGCGCGAAAGCCAGGGGAGCAAACGGG